AGAGUUUGAUCCUGGCUCAGGACGAACGCUGGCGGCGUGCCUAAUACAUGCAAGUAGAACGCUGAAGACUUUAGAUUGCUAGAGUUGGAAGAGUUGCGAGCGGGUGAGUAACGCGUAGGUAACCUGCCUACUAGCGGGGGAUAACUAUUGGAAACGAUAGCUAAUACCGCAUAACAGUGUUUAACACAUGUUAGAUGCUUGAAAGAUGCAAUUGCAUCACUAGUAGAUGGACCUGCGUUGUAUUAGCUAGUUGGUGGGGUAACGGCCUACCAAGGCGACGAUACAUAGCCGACCUGAGAGGGUGAUCGGCCACACUGGGACUGAGACACGGCCCAGACUCUACGGGAGGCAGCAGUAGGGAAUCUUCGGCAAUGGGGGCAACCCUGACCGAGCAACGCCGCGUGAGUGAAGAAGGUUUUCGGAUCGUAAAGCUCUGUUGUAAGAGAAGAACGUGUGUGAGAGUGGAAAGUUCACACAGUGACGGUAAUUACCAGAAAGGGACGGCUAAUACGUGCCAGCAGCCGCGGUAAU
rnacentral:rRNA from 1 species